GGGGUUGUGGCUCAGUGGUAGAGUGUUUGCCUCGCAUGCAUGGAUCACUGAGUUCAAUCCUCAGCACCA
rnacentral:tRNA from 1 species